UAUGCUGCAUUUAUUUAUAAUACAGCUGCUGGCUGAUCAUUCAUUUGUUAAUGGUUAGGAGACAGUGUCUGGAUAGCAGGAAAGAUUCUCUCUGUGUUUUUUGAAUGAGAUACCCAACAAAGGAAAGCGAGAGCAAGAGUGAGAGAGCACACACAGAAACAGCAGCCGGGAAGUUGGAAUGGGCAGAGAAAGAGAGCUGGCAAUUCUGACUAGAGUUAGCUGAAAGUGGAAGUGCCCACACAGACCCUCACACAGUCCCAGACAGCAGGCCAUUUUCUUUUACCUGUAGUCAGACUGUUACUAUUUUUCAGGAGGCAUUCAACUGCAUACCAGCAAAUUUAGGUAUGUACAACAUAUACCCGAUGCUGUACACAACUUCCAUGCAAAUAAACGAAUGUGCAACAAAGAGUGGACAUCGCAUAACUUCUGCACAGGCUUUGUGCAAUCAAAUCAGGAUGAAUGCACAACAUACAGGAAGCGAUUAAAGGUUUGUCUCCUUUAUCCCGUUGAAAACAGGAAAGCCUCCUGUCAUGCAGACUCAGAGAUUCUCGGGGCCCAAUGAAGUGAGCAAAACCAAAACUCCGGUGAGAAUAUGUGGGGUUUGAAGGAGGAGUGGCUAGCUUAACCUUUCCCAUGUGAAGAUGGGAAAGUAACUGACACAGGAAACUCAGUAAGAGGUGAGAAGGAAGGCUACCACAAGUGGGAGCUGUAGCUACCAUCUAAUGCUGGUCCUGCAGCAACCAUAUGGAGAGCUUUAGCAGAGCAAGAACAUGCAGCUGAUGCUUUGUAUUAGAGGUGAAGAGGUGACUUGAAUUGUGCUACUGUUAAUUUGCCCUUUAAGCAGCUACAGCAGGGAGUCUAUAAUGGCAAGAAGCCGUGCAAGGAGAUUUGCCUAUCAGAUUAUUAUGUCAGAAAUGCUAAAGAUUGAAAGCAAUGGAAGGGCAAAUAGCUUUUGGUCACCAAUUUAACAUAAUCCACUGAGCAUUCAAGGACACCCAUUUGUAAAUAUUUUGUAAGUAUACUCAGAUAAAAUGCAUUCAUACCUACAUUUCUCCCCAGUAUUUUUAUGCUAGUGGAGACAAGAUGCUUUUGGUCCUUCAUUACGUGUGUGUGUGUGUGUGUGUGUGUGUGUGUGUCUGUCUGUCUGUCUGUCUGUGUUUAAUGAUGCUGUUAACUCCUCUGUGCCAUGCCAGAGACUAUUUAAAGAACCGUCAUGGCAAAAUACACCCCAGUUGUAUUGUUUUUAGCAAUCCGUCCCACAACGACAAACA